rnacentral:tRNA from 1 species
UUCUAAUAUGGCAGAUUAGUGCAAUGGAUUUAAGCCCCAUAUAUAAAGUUAAAUUUACUUUUUUUAGAAA